rnacentral:tRNA from 3 species
GGGAUCUUGGUGAAGCUGGUUAUCACGCCACCCUGUCACGGUGGAGGCCACGGGUUCGAGCCCCGUAGAUCUCG